rnacentral:rRNA from 1 species
GUGGGGAAUAUUGGACAAUGGGCGAAAGCCUGAUGCAGCAACGCCGCGUGAGUGAUGAAGGUCUUCGGAUUGUAAAGCUCUGUCUUCUGGGACGACAAUGACGGUACCAGAGGAGGAAGCCACGGCUAACUACGUGCCAGCAGCCGCGGUAAUACGUAGGUGGCAAGCGUUGUCCGGAUUUACUGGGCGUAAAGGGUGCGCAGGCGGAUAUUUAAGUGGGAUGUGAAAUCCCCGGGCUUAACCUGGGGGCUGCAUUCCAAACUGGAUAUCUAGAGUGCAGGAGAGGAGAAUGGAAUUCCUAGUGUAGCGGUGAAAUGCGUAGAGAUUAGGAAGAACACCAGUGGCGAAGGCGAUUCUCUGGACUGUAACUGACGCUGAGGCACGAAAGCGUGGGUAGCAAACAGGAUUAGAAACCCGGGUAGUCC